rnacentral:rRNA from 1 species
GGGUUGUGAGGUUAAGCGACUAAGCGUACACGGUGGAUGCCCUGGCAGUCAGAGGCGAUGAAGGACGUGCUAAUCUGCGAUAAGCGUCGGUAAGGUGAUAUGAACCGUUAUAACCGGCGAUUUCCGAAUGGGGAAACCCAGUGUGAUUCGUCACACUAUCAUUAACUGAAUCCAUAGGUUAAUGAGGCGAACCGGGGGAACUGAAACAUCUAAGUACCCCGAGGAAAAGAAAUCAACCGAGAUUCCCCCAGUAGCGGCGAGCGAACGGGGAGGAGCCCAGAGCCUGAAUCAGUGUGUGUGUUAGUGGAAGCGUCUGGAAAGGCGCGCGAUACAGGGUGACAGCCCCGUACACAAAAAUGCACAUGCUGUGAGCUCGAUGAGUAGGGCGGGACACGUGGUAUCCUGUCUGAAUAUGGGGGGACCAUCCUCCAAGGCUAAAUACUCCUGACUGACCGAUAGUGAACCAGUACCGUGAGGGAAAGGCGAAAAGAACCCCGGCGAGGGGAGUGAAAAAGAACCUGAAACCGUGUACGUACAAGCAGUGGGAGCCUCUUUAUGGGGUGACUGCGUACCUUUUGUAUAAUGGGUCAGCGACUUAUAUUCUGUAGCAAGGUUAACCGAAUAGGGGAGCCGAAGGGAAACCGAGUCUUAACUGGGCGUUAAGUUGCAGGGUAUAGACCCGAAACCCGGUGAUCUAGCCAUGGGCAGGUUGAAGGUUGGGUAACACUAACUGGAGGACCGAACCGACUAAUGUUGAAAAAUUAGCGGAUGACUUGUGGCUGGGGGUGAAAGGCCAAUCAAACCGGGAGAUAGCUGGUUCUCCCCGAAAGCUAUUUAGGUAGCGCCUCGUGAACUCAUCUCCGGGGGUAGAGCACUGUUUCGGCAAGGGGGUCAUCCCGACUUACCAACCCGAUGC